rnacentral:rRNA from 1 species
UACAGAGGGGGCAAGCGUUGUUCGGAAUUACUGGGCGUAAAGAGCUCGUAGGCGGUUUGUCGCGUCUGCUGUGAAAUCCCGAGGCUCAACCUCGGGCCUGCAGUGGGUACGGGCAGACUGGAGUGCGGUAGGGGAGAAUGGAAUUCCUGGUGUAGCGGUGGAAUGCGCAGAUAUCAGGAGGAACACCGAUGGCGAAGGCAGUUCUCUGGGCCGUAACUGACGCUGAGGAGCGAAAGCGUGGGGAGCGAACAGG